rnacentral:rRNA from 1 species
UACGGAGGGUGCGAGCGUUGUUCGGAUUUACUGGGCGUAAAGGGCGCGUAGGCGGCAAUUCAAGUCAGCUGUGAAAUCUCUGGGCUUAACCCAGAACGGCCAGCUGAUACUGCUUUGCUAGAGUGCAGAAGGGGCAAUCGGAAUUCUUGGUGUAGCGGUGAAAUGCGUAGAUAUCAAGAGGAACACCUGAGGUGAAGACGGGUUGCUGGGCUGACACUGACGCUGAGGCGCGAAAGCCAGGGGAGCAAACGGG